UGGUAAUGCCGGAUGCUCCAGUUGGAUGCAUGUCCUUCUGGGAAAGAUUCUAUCGGUAUGGGAUGGGGUCGCGUCCUAUCAGCUUGAUGGCGGGGUAACGGCCCACCAUGGCUUCGACGGGUAGCCGGCCUGAGAGGGCGACCGGCCACAUUGGGACUGAGAUACGGCCCAGACUCCUACGGGAGGCAGCAGUGGGGAAUAUUGCACAAUGGGCGCAAGCCUGAUGCAGCGACGCCGCGUGCGGGAUGACGGCCUUCGGGUUGUAAACCGCUUUUGACUGGGAGCAAGCCCUUCGGGGUGAGUGUACCUUUCGAAUAAGCACCGGCUAACUACGUGCCAGCAGCCGCGGUAAUACGUAGGGUGCAAGCGUUAUCCGGAAUUAUUGGGCGUAAAGGGCUCGUAGGCGGUUCGUCGCGUCCGGUGUGAAAGUCCAUCGCUUAACGGUGGAUCCGCGCCGGGUACGGGCGGGCUUGAGUGCGGUAGGGGAGACUGGAAUUCCCGGUGUAACGGUGGAAUGUGUAGAUA
rnacentral:rRNA from 1 species